CGCGUAGGCGGACACUCAAGUCGGUGGUGAAAUCCUCCAGCUUAACUGGAGAAGAGCUGUCGAUACUGGGUGUCUCGAGUGGUGCAGGGGUCUGCGGAACUUCGGGUGGAGCGGUGAAAUGCGUAGAGAUCCGAAGGAACGCCGGUGGCGAAAGCGGCGGACUGGGCACCUUCUGACGCUGAGGCGCGAAAGCCAGGGAGCAAACG
rnacentral:rRNA from 1 species